AACGAACGCUGGCGGCAUGCCUAACACAUGCAAGUCGAACGAGACCUUCGGGUCUAGUGGCGCACGGGUGCGUAACGCGUGGGAACCUGCCCUUAGGUUCGGAAUAACUCCCCGAAAGGGGUGCUAAUACCGGAUAAUGUCUUCGGACCAAAGAUUUAUCGCCCUUGGAUGGGCCUGCGUGGGCUUAGCUAGUUGGUAGGGUAAAAGGCUACCACGGCGAGGAUCCGUAGCUGGUUAGUGAGGAUGCGCAGCGACACUGGGGGUGGGCCACGGCCCGGAAUCUUACGCGAGGGAGGAGUGGGGGAUAUAGCAAAGCGGGGGGAGGCAUGAUGCAGCAAGGCCUGGUGAGUGAUGAAGGCUGUAGGGUAGUAAAGCUAGUUUACCCGGGACGAUAUUGGCGUUACCGGGAGAAUAAGCACCGGCUAACUCCGUG
rnacentral:rRNA from 1 species